rnacentral:tRNA from 1 species
GCAAAUAUAGUUUAACAAAAACAUUAGAUUGUGAAUCUAAACAUAGAAGCUUAGACCUUCUUAUAUGCC